UACUCUUCUUGAUGGCCUUUUGGCUAAGAUCAAUGUGUAGUAGCUGUUCUUAGCUUAAUAUCUGAUACGGUCCCUAUUUGAGGUCAUUGAUAUUAAACUGAUAUUUAGAACAAGACAAAGAGUUAGGAGCUUGCUCCACCUUUGCUAUGGGUUGCUAUGGGUAUUGCAAUACUUACAGGAUUCGACCCAUCAUUC